rnacentral:rRNA from 1 species
UGGGGGAUAUUGCUCAAUGGGCGAAAGCCUGAUGCAGCGACGCCGCGUGGGGGAUGAAGGCCUUCGGGUUGUAAACUUCUUUUGCUCUGAACAAGGCAUGCCUUUGGGGUGUGUUGAGUGUAGGGGUUGAUUAGCGCCGGCUAACUACGUGCCAGCAGCCGCGGUAAUACGUAGGGCGCGAGCGUUGUCCGGAAUUAUUGGGCGUAAAGGGCUUGUAGGUGGCUGGUUGCGUCUGUCGUGAAAGCUCAUGGCUUAACUGUGGGUUUGCGGUGGGUACGGGCUGGCUUGAGUGCAGUAGGGGAGGCUGGAAUUCCUGGUGUAGCGGUGGAAUGCGCAGAUAUCAGGAGGAAUACCGGUGGCGAAGGCGGGUCUCUGGGCUGUUACUGACGCUGAGGAGCGAAAGCGUGGGGAGCGAACAGG